rnacentral:rRNA from 1 species
GAUGAACGCUGGCGGCGUGCCUAAUACAUGCAAGUCGAGCGAACAGAUAAGGAGCUUGCUCCUUUGACGUUAGCGGCGGACGGGUGAGUAACACGUGGGUAACCUACCUAUAAGACUGGGAUAACCUCGGGAAACCGGAGCUAAUACCGGAUAAUAUUUCGAACCGCAUGGUUCGAUAGUGAAAGAUGGUUUUGCUAUCACUUAUAGAUGGACCCGCGCCGUAUUAGCUAGUUGGUAAGGUAACGGCUUACCAAGGCGACGAUACGUAGCCGACCUGAGAGGGUGAUCGGCCACACUGGAACUGAGACACGGUCCAGACUCCUACGGGAGGCAGCAGUAGGGAAUCUUCCGCAAUGGGCGAAAGCCUGACGGAGCAACGCCGCGUGAGUGAUGAAGGUCUUCGGAUCGUAAAACUCUGUUAUUAGGGAAGAACAUACGUGUAAGUAACUGUGCACGUCUUGACGGUACCUAAUCAGAAAGCCACGGCUAACUACGUG